UAGAGUGGAAAAAUAGAGGGAUUGAAAGAGGACGGUGUAUCUAUGGAAAGAAAGUCAAUUUUGAGUAUGUUUGGUGGGAAAGAAAAGUGAAGGGAAUGAAAAUAGGAAAGACAAUCAUUUUCCUUCCCUGGAAAAAGAACAAACCAUUCCAUUGGAAUGAUAAUAGAAGAGAAAAUGUGAGAGAUGCACAUUAAGUGUAUAAAAUUAUGCAUUUUUAAAAAAAAUCAUUUUCUUUUCUCUAAUUUUUCUACUCUACCAAGCAUUGAAUGGAAAGAAAGUUACUUUUUCUCUUCAUUUUUUCAUCUUUCCUAACAAGCAAACUAAUGGAAAGAACAAAUAUAUUUCCUAUCUUUUGAAUUUUCAUUUUUUUCAAUUUUCUGUCCACUUACCAAGCAAAGUCAUAAUGAAUAAAACUAAUAUGUUGACCAUACAUCCAAUAUCCAAUAUUUUGGCAAUUCUCAUGAAUAAAAAUAAGGGAAAAUAAGUUGCCGCUGAAAUGAACAGCCUCAUAUAACUAUUGGUCAUUGUAGAUUGUUGAGUUUAGAGCACAGUGUUUAACUAGGCUCUUAAAAUACCCUCUAGUUGUGUUUCUGGACCGUUCUGAUGUUCAGCUUCUAUUGACGCUAUUAACAUCAUGGCUGUGAUUUUAUUUGUUGCUCUAUGAGGUUGCUUUGUCAUUCAUUGAGCGCAUGUUGCUCAGUCACCAUUGUUGAGCUCUGUAAACUUUGACAACUGACUAUGUAUACAUGAAUCAUUCAGGGAGAAUGUCCUCUUAUCAUAUGGUUCAAUGGGUUUUGUUUUCAUUGUUGUGGUUUCUAUCUAUGUUAAUUCAACUUCAGUUUCUUGACGUACCCAUAUCUGGGAUCCGUGACUGACACAUUUUUGGACAUGAGUAUGGGGAUGUAACCCAUGAAAUACAUAGAAGCAUUGAAAUUUUAAACAUAUCCUUGAUGGACACAAACCAUAUCUGACACUAAACUCAAGUUUGAGUAACAUGUGUUUCUAUUUGCUGUUGUUGGACUUGACUUGCUGCAGCAGUAUGUUAGCAUGACUUGUUAUCUUCAUUUGAUUAAACAAGAAAAUCAGUAUGUUCUCAUCUUCUUCUGUCAUCUUUAUUACCAUGCCUCCUGUUCUCAACCAUGUGUUUUAGUAUAGCAUUUCCGUUACGUAUAUGUUUUGGUUCGA
rnacentral:lncRNA from 1 species